UGAGGAAUAUUGCGCAAUGGGGGCAACCCUGACGCAGCGACGCCGCGUGGAUGAUGAAGGCCUUCGGGUCGUAAAAUCCUGUCAGAUGGAAAGAAUGGUUUAUGGGUUAAUACCCUGUAGAUUUGACGGUACCAUCAAAGGAAGCACCGGCUAACUCCGUGCCAGCAGCCGCGGUAAUACGGAGGGUGCAAGCGUUGUUCGGAAUUACUGGGCGUAAAGCGCGCGCAGGUGGUUUGCUCAGUCAGAUGUGAAAGCCCACGGCUUAACCGUGGACGUGCAUUUGAUACUGGCAGACUUGAGUACUGGAGGGGGUAGUGGAAUUCCCGGUGUAGAGGUGAAAUUCGUAGAUAUCGGGAGGAAUACCGGUGGCGAAGGCGACUACCUGGCCAGAUACUGACACUGAGGCGCGAAAGCGUGGGGAGCAAACAGG
rnacentral:rRNA from 1 species